rnacentral:rRNA from 1 species
UACGUAGGGGUGCGAGCGUUGUCCGGAAUUAUUGGGCGUAAAGAGCUCGUAGGCGGUGUGUCGCGUCGGCCGUGAAAACCUGCAGCUUAACUGUGGGCUUGCGGUCGAUACGGGCAUCACUGGAGUUCGGCAGGGGAGACUGGAAUUCCUGGUGUAGCGGUGAAAUGCGCAGAUAUCGGGAAGAACACCCGUGGCGAAGGCGGCACUCUGGGACGGUACUGACGCGUGAGACGGCGAAAAGCGUGGGGGAGCCGAACAGG